UAAUACGGAGGUGGCAAGCGUUACUCGGAUUCAUUGGGUGUAAAGGGCAAGUAGGCGGUCUAUUAAGUGAGGGGUGAAAUCUUCCGACUCAAUCGGGAAACUGCCUUUCAAACUGAUAGACUUGAGGGUGGAAGAGGAAAAUGGAAUUCUCGGUGUAAGGGUGAAAUCUGUAGAUAUCGAGAAGAACACCAGCGGCGAAGGCGAUUUUCUGGUCCACUCCUGACGCUAAAUUGCGAAAGCUAGGGGAGCAAACAGAAUUAGAUACUCUGGUAGUCCUAGCCGUAAACGAUGAGCACUAGGUGUUGGCCCUUUACGGGGUCAGUGCCGCAGCUAACGCAUUAAGUGCUCCACCUGGGGACUACGGUCGCAAGGCUA
rnacentral:rRNA from 1 species